GUCCGGUUGAUCCUGCCAGAGGUUACUGCUAUCGAGGUUCGACUAAGCCAUGCGAGUCGAAUGUAGCAAUACAUGGCGUCUGCUCAGUAACACGUGGAUAACCUACCCUUGAGAUGGGAAUAAACCCGGGAAACUGGGUAUAAUACCCAAUAGAUCUCGACUGCUGGAAUGCAUCGAGAUCCAAAGCUCCGGCGCUCAAGGAUGGAUCUGCGGCCUAUCAGGUAGUAGUGGGUGUAGUGUACCUACUAGCCUACGACGGGUACGGGUUGUGAGAGCAAGAGCCCGGAGAUGGAUUCUGAGACACGAACUCCAGGCCCUACGGCGUGCAGCAGGCGCGAAAACUUUACAAUGCUGGAAACAGCGAUAAGGGGACCUCGAGUGCCAGGUUACAAAUCUGGCUGUCGUGAUGCCUAAAAAGCAUUGCAUAGCAAGGGCCGGGCAAGACCGGUGCCAGCCGCCGCGGUAACACCGGCGGCUCGAGUGGUAACCGUUAUUAUUGGGUCUAAAGGGUCUGUAGCCGGCCGGGUAAGUCUCUUGGGAAAUCUGGCAGCUUAACUGUCAGGCUUUCAGGAGAUACUGUCUGGCUCGAGGCCGGGAGAGGUGAGAGGUACUUCAGGGGUAGGGGUGAAAUCUUGUAAUCCUUGAAGGACCACCAGUGGCGAAGGCGUCUCACCAGAACGGACCUGACGGCAAGGGACGAAAGCUAGGGGCACGAACCGGAUUAGAUACCCGGGUAGUCCUAGCCGUAAACGAUACUCGCUAGGUGUCGGCAACGGUGCGACCGUUGUCGGUGCCGUAGGGAAGCCGUGAAGCGAGCCACCUGGGAAGUACGGCCGCAAGGCUGAAACUUAAAGGAAUUGGCGGGGGAGCAC
rnacentral:rRNA from 1 species